UAAGGAAUAUUGGUCAAUGGACGCAAGUCUGAACCAGCCAUGCCGCGUGAAGGAUGAAGGUCCUCUGGAUUGUAAACUUCUUUUAUAGGGGGCGAAAAAAGGGAAAUCUUUCUCACUUGACAGUACCCUAUGAAUAAGCACCGGCUAACUCCGUGCCAGCAGCCGCGGUAAUACGGAGGGUGCAAGCGUUAUCCGGAUUCACUGGGUUUAAAGGGUGCGUAGGCGGGCGUAUAAGUCAGUGGUGAAAUCCUGGAGCUUAACUCCAGAACUGCCAUUGAUACUAUAUGUCUUGAAUAUGGUGGAGGUAAGCGGAAUAUGUCAUGUAGCGGUGAAAUGCAUAGAUAUGACAUAGAACACCUAUUGCGAAGGCAGCUUACUACGCCUAUAUUGACGCUGAGGCACGAAAGCGUGGGGAUCAAACAGGAUUAGAUACCCUGGUAGUCCACGCCCUAAACGAUGAUUACUCGACGUGUGCGAUAAACGGUACGCGUCUGAGCGAAAGCAUUAAGUAAUCCACCUGGGAAGUACGACCGCAAGGUUGAAACUUAAAGGAAUUGACGGGGUCAUAGCUGUUUCCUG
rnacentral:rRNA from 1 species